rnacentral:misc_RNA from 1 species
GAUGAAGAACGUAGCGAAAUGCGAUAAGUAAUGUGAAUUGCAGAAUUCAGUGAAUCAUCGAAUCUUUGAACGCACAUUGCGCCCGCCAGUAUUCUGGCGGGCAUGCCUGUUCGAGCGUCAUUUCAACCAUCAAGCCCCCGGCUUGUGUUGGGGACCUGCGGCUGCCGCAGGCCCUGAAAACCAGUGGCGGGCUCGCUAGUCACUCCGAGCGUAGUAGUUACAUCUCGCUCAGGGCGUGCUGCGGGUUCCGGCCGUUAAAAGCCUUAUUUACCCAAGGUUGACCUCGGAUCAGGUAGGAAGACCCGCUGAACUUAAGCAUAUAAUAAGCGGAGGA